GAUGAAGAAUGUAGCGAAAUGCGAUAACUAAUGUGAAUUGCAGAAUUCAGUGAAUCAUCGAGUCUUUGAACGCACAUUGCGCCCCCUGGUAUUCCGGGGGGCAUGCCUGUCCGAGCGUCAUUGCUGCCCUCAAGCACGGCUUGUGUGUUGGGCUCCGUCCCCCCGGGGACGGGCCCGAAAGGCAGCGGCGGCACCGAGUCCGGUCCUCGAGCGUAUGGGGCUUUGUCACCCGCUCUGUAGGCCCGGCCGGCGCCAGCCGACAACCCAUCAUCCUUUUCAGGUUGACCUCGGAUCAGGUAGGGAUACCCGCUGAACUUAAGCAUAUCAAUAAGCGGAGGA
rnacentral:misc_RNA from 1 species